rnacentral:rRNA from 1 species
AGUAGCGGUGAAAUGCGUAGAUAUCUGGAGGAAUACCAAAGGCGAAGGCAGUCCCCUGGUCCGAUACUGACACUGAGGUACGAAAGCGUGGGGAGCAAACAGGAUUAGAUACCCUGGUAGUCCACGCCCUAAACGAUGUCGAUUAGCCAUUGGAAGGACCCCUUUUCCUUUCAGUGACGUAGCUAACGCGUUAAAUCGACCGCCUGGGAAGUACGACCGCAAGGGUUAAAACUCAAAGGAAUUGACGGGGACCUGAACAAGCGGUGAAUGAUGUGGAUUAAUUCGAUGCUACGCGAAGAACCUUACCUACCUUUGACAUGGCCAAAGUUCUACCGAGAGGCGGAAGUACUCGUAAGAGGAUUGGCGCACAGGUGCUGCAUGGUUGUCGUCAGUUCGUGUCGUGAGAUGUUGGGUUCAGUCCCGCAACGAACGCAACCCUUAUCUUUAAUUGCUCCUAUUUUAACAGGCACUUUAAAGAAACUGCCAAUGAUAAGUUGGAGGAAGGUGGGGAUCACGUCAAGUCCGCAUGGCCUUUAUAGGUAGGGCUUCACACGUCAUACAAUGGUUAGAACAAAGAGCUGCAAAUUCGUAAGAAGGAGCCAAUCUCACAAACCUAACCUCAGUUCGAAUUGCGGUCUGCAACUCGAGCGCAUGAAGCCGGAAUCGCUAGUAAUCGUGGAUCAGAAUGCCA